AAAGAGCAUGUAGGCGGUCUAUUAAGUCGGAUGUGAAAGCCCUCGGCCCAACCGGGGAACUGCAUUCGAUACUGAUAGACUUGAGGACAGGAGGGGUGAGUGGAACUUCAGGUGGAACGGUGAAAUGUGUAGAUAUCUGAAGGAACACCGGUGGCGAAAGCGGCUCACUGGCCUGUCUCUGACGCUGAGAUGCGAAAGCUAGGGUAGCGAACGGGAUUAGAUACCCCGGUAGUCCUAGCCGUAAACGAUGGGUACUAGGUAGUGGGUUUUCCCUAUGGGGCUCAUUGCCGUAGCUAAUGUAUUAAGUACCCCGCCUGGGGAGUACGCUCGCAAGGGUAAAACUCAAAGGAACUGACGGGGGAUCACACAAGCGGUGGAGCAUGUGGUUUAAUUCGAAGCAACGCGAAGAACCUUACCUGGCCUUGACAUACAUGGAUUAGCUCUGUGAAAGCAGAGUGACAGCUCUUCGGAGUCGGAACAUGAACAGGUGUUGCAUGGCUGUCGUCAGCUCGUGUCGUGAGAUGUUGGGUUAAGUCCCGUAACGAGCGAAACCCUUGUCGUUAGUUGCCAGCGAGUAAUGUCGGGGACUCUAACGAGACUGCCGUUGUAAAGCGGAGGAAGGUGGGGACGACGUCAAGUCAUCAUGGCCCUUAUGGCCAGGGCGACACACGUGCUACAAUGGUCUACACAAAGGGUUCCAAGAUCGCGAGAUCAAGGCAAUCCCACAAAGUAGGCCCCAGUUCGGAUUGCAGGCUGAAAUUCGCCUGCAUGAAGCCGGAAUCGCUNGUAAUCGNGUAUCAGCCAUGACGCGGUGAAUAUGUUCCUGAUCCUUGUACACACUGCCCGUCAAGCCACGGGAGCGGGGAGCGCUNG
rnacentral:rRNA from 1 species